rnacentral:tRNA from 1 species
AAAAACAUAGCAUAAUUUAAUGUAUCUCAUUUACACUGAGAACAUGCUGAAACAUCAGCUGUUUUUA